rnacentral:pre_miRNA from 1 species
GAACUACUCCUUCUGUCCCGAAUUACUUAUCGCAGAAAUGGAUGUAUCUAAAUGUAUUUUUAGUUAUAGAUACAUUAAUUUCUAUUCAUUUAUGCGACAAAUAAACCGGGAGAGGGAGUAUUUU